UGUAGUUCUAAUGAUUGACUUAAGCAAACACUUGCCAGCUUUUAACAUUAUCCUAUUGGCUAAAAAGUUUUUCAAAAGGCAUUGUAACCAAGAGAAUUUUGGCUGUUGUUGUAAUGGCAUGAGAUUUCAACAUCUUUUUUGCCUCACCUUGUACCAAUGAGGCUGAGGCUGAAUGAAAAGCUCAAGGAUUAGGCACUUUCCUGUUAUUGACAAACGGAGAUCCAACAGAGGACUAUCCAGAAUAAGAUUGUUGCAUUGUAGAUCCUGCCUGCAGUAAGAGACCCUCAUGGACCCUUAAACUCAAGCUGUUAGAGAAGGUCAGAUUUUGUUGACAUUCAGGAACUGAUGAAAUCUUGUCUGGAAUCUAUCAUCCUAGUCUGUCUCCAUACUGUACAACAGAAGACAAAAUGUUUCCAGCUCUGUGAGACACUGAAUCAACCACUCCUUCACAUCUGGAUCUGUAUGGGGAACUGCAUGAGAAGCUAUUACACAGUUUGAAAACUGAGACCUUUCCUAAAGACCUUCCAACUAGAAAUCAGCUGGGUUCAUUUCAGCAACUCCAGAGAACCUUCUUAAAAUUAAAAGGUAUAAAUAGUGAUACAGAAAGAGGAGGACAUAACAGCCAGUUCUCCAAGGAGGGAUAUUCUCACAUACUUUACCACUGCCAGAGUAUAGUAUUCCUCCUCAUCCCUUUGUGCCAGCAGCUUUGGAAUGGCCAAGCCAAGGGAAGAAGACACAUAGACUCUGUGAAGCAGAAGAAGGAAGAUAUUUAGAGAAGAGCAAAAGCAAAAGAUGGAAAUCAGGACAGGAGGAGGACAAUUUUGGGUCUCAUGCCUUGUCUUCAAAACUAGAGUACAUCUAGACUCCAUAAUUCCUGAUCUUCACAACAGAAUAAACAUUUCUCUCUACUCCUAGAAAGAGGCACUACCGUUGAUGGGCUCAGCUUUGGCCAGUGGCACAUCUGUCUUGGAGCUAUCUGGCAUUGGAUCAACUGGAUGUAGGGGAAGCUUCUGGCAGUUUCUCACAGAAAGCACUGCUGAAAUGCUCACUCUGUCCCCCACCCUGCUGCUACUGAAAGUUUGCCACACAGACUGGAGGAAAAGCAAGACAAAUAGCGUCAAGAUAUGCUGCUGUCACGUAAAUGUGUAUACACAGAACUUCAGUAAGAAUGACUUGAAUCCAAGAUUUGCACUGUAUACAUUUUGAGAAAGUCAUCUUGACUUUCUAACCAAAUUGUUUUCUUGUGUUUUGGCCCCAAACGAGCACUUUGAAAAGACCAGACAGUAAACUGCUUCCUUUAUAAUUCUGGGCUCUAACAGAAGUGUCAAGAAGGUGAUGAGAACAUAUUACACUCUCAUAAUAUAAGCCACAAGAAUCAUUUUAUAGCAAACCAUCUGUCAGCUAGUAGAGAAGGCAGUGUGGAGAUAUUUUAGUUUUCUUGAACUUAUUAUACAUCCUAACACACAUAGCAUGCCUUCAUAAAACAUAAUUAUGCACACUAAUAAGCAUUAAUAUAAGGUAAUUGUGUGUGUCCACCCAGGAUUCCAGCAUUGCUUCUGGAACUGUGGCACUGUGGACUUCCAAGGUUAGGAAAACACAAUGAUACUAACAGUUCCAAAAAUUCCCCCAAAAUAGACUGGUUUCUUGAGGGUGGGGCCAUUGCUGACAUAUUAAUUUAGCAGGAACACGGCAGAAAACAUGCCUGACUCUAUCACUGAUAUUCAUCCCAGCAACCAAGAGCUACUAAAACAUGACUAUUGGUGCCCAUAGGUGGGAGAAGCACUUCCAAAAAGAGGUUUUUAUUCCAUUUUAAGAUAGUUAAUUUAUCUCUGGAAUGAAUCACCUUUUAAAAAGUUUAAAAAUAAGAGAAAGAGAGAAAUUAUUCAGCUAGGACCAUGUAGUAAUGUAGUAUUUAUGUAGUAAAAAACACAAUAAGAUUUGACACUAAAUGUGAAAAAAACAGAAAAGAUUGCUUAUAUUUAGAAAGAUUGUAAAUAUUUGUGAGCCAGUAUCCUAACGUUUCCUCUUCAAAAUCUUAUUUUUCUUUUCAUUUAGGCUUGUACCUCUUGUAAUGGAUAAAAACAAAAACACAUUCAUCAAUAAAGUAUAAAUUAAAUAUGCUUAUUUUCUGUUCAGCUGGGCCCAGUGUAUCAGUGUUCUGAAUACUUGAAGUGCUUGUUCAUACAACAGUCGUCAGAUAUCUGUGGGACCACUUCUGUCACUAAAUGUUGAUUGAUUUGGUAUGAAUUUCUUUGAAAUAUGUUUACUUCAUUUAUCACCACUUGUUCAGGCCUCUAUAAAAUUAUCUAAGGAAAACUAAAAUAAAGGAGUAAUUUACUUACAAUGUUUUCUCAGUGGUAAAUCCCUUGUCUUAGUAAAACUCAUUACAGCCUUUUUCUCAUCUGUCCAAUAUAUUUUACUGCAAAAAGAUUUCCUCAAAUCCCCUAGAAGUUUUACAAUAAUGUUUGACAAGACAAAGUGGAAAAAGUAUUCACUUUGAAGUUCAUGAUGCAGCAAAAGAGAGCUGCUGAUACAUCCCUCUUGUAAACUCUACUAUUGGCAGCUGUUUUAGAAAGACCAUCUCCAUCUUGUUGUACCACCAAUAUAGUUUUCAUUCCUGACCAAACUGGGACACUAGUAUAUUCUAUUUUUUUCUUAACCCAGAGUGAAUCCUAUAUUUGGCCUAUUAGCUUCACCACAUGCUUAUGAAAAAUCGUUUACUUUUUUCUUCCAACUUUUAAAUUUUAAUUAAAUUCUUUUCCACCUGGAAUAUCUUGCUCUUUUGUU